UACGUAGGGUCCGAGCGUUGUCCGGAAUUACUGGGCGUAAAGAGCUCGUAGGUGGUUUGUCGCGUUGUUCGUGAAAACUCACAGCUCAACUGUGGGCGUGCGGGCGAUACGGGCAGACUGGAGUACUGCAGGGGAGACUGGAAUUCCUGGUGUAGCGGUGGAAUGCGCAGAUAUCGAGGAGGAACACCGGUGGCGAAGGCGGGUCUCUGGGCAUUAACUGACGCUGGAGGAGCGAAAGCAUGGGGAGCGAACAGG
rnacentral:rRNA from 1 species